rnacentral:misc_RNA from 1 species
CAGAGUUGAAAACUCCCAAACCCAUGUGAACUUACCACUUGUUGCCUCGGCGUGCCUGCCGCCUCUGUGUGGCGGCUCGCCGGUGGACUUCUAAACUCUUGUUAUUUUGAGUCAUCUGAGCGUCUUAUGUAAAUAAGUCA